CAGAGGAUGUCACAGCACAGGGGGUCUUAGUGCCUACAGAGGAUGUCACAGCACAGGAGGUCUCAGUGCCUACAGAGGAUGUCACAGCACAGGAGGUCUCAGUGCCUACAGAGGAUGUCACAGCACAGGAGGUCUCAGUGCCUACAGAGGAUGUCACAGCACAGGAGGUCUCAGUGCCUACAGAGGAUGUCACAGCACAGGAGGUCUCACAAUUUGAGAACGACUGGCCUAGCA